rnacentral:ncRNA from 1 species
AAUAAGGAUAGAGGCGCAAAAACCAUGAGUAAGCUGCAAGAGGAUGAUGAGAUCCGACUACUGCAGUGGAAAGGGGAAUUUGCCGAAGCUUAGAGAAACUCAUAUUUCUCUAUUGCUGGGCCUGCUGUUGAAUAAACACAGGACUGUCAUGUAGGAAACUAUAUGGAGGGCUAUCGUACGC